rnacentral:rRNA from 1 species
CAGCCGCCACGGGAAUACGUAGGUGGCAAGCGUUGUCCGGAAUUAUUAGGCGUAAAGGGCUCGCAGGCGGUUUCUUAAGUCUGAUGUGAAAGCCCCCGGCUCAACCGGGGAGGGUCAUUGGAAACUGGGAAACUUGAGUGCAGAAGAGGAGAGUGGAAUUCCACGUGUAGCGGUGAAAUGCGUAGAGAUGUGGAGGAACACCAGUGGCGAAGGCGACUCUCUGGUCUGUAACUGACGCUGAGGAGCGAAAGCGUGGGGAGCGAACAGGAUUAGAUACCCCAGUAGUCCCUGUCUCUUAUAU